GUCACGUGGGCAGCAAAGUGAGUCGCAUAUAGUACGGCGUGUAACUACAAUCAUCGUUGUAAAAAUUUUAAGAAGCUUGAGAGUCGCAACCUGUAGUGGAAGAAGCAGCGGAUAAAUUCAGUGGAAAGCCGAACAAUACCUACCUAAGUUCAGGAACGGAAAAAAGGCUAUUGGAGAGGAGGCAAUGUAUCAAGAUGGAAUCUCAUUGUGUGUGACAGAAACAGACCUAAAUAAUAAUUUUGAAAUACGAGAAAAAAUGGAAUUCAAGCGGCGAAGAAGAGUUAGUGCACCAGCCAAACCGUACGGAGGUUCAGAAAAGCUGAAGAACAAAUUAGAACAUGGGUUUUAUGGAGGCGGAAAAAAGCUAUCACAGUCAGCUUUGUUAAUCUCGCCAUCAUGGCAGAGUUUUGAUAGAGAGGAUGUCGACGGUGACCCGCUUGACACGAGUUGGGACUACAUCGAAGAAAUGAUGAAGGACAACAAAAAAGCAGAGACAAUUAAGCUUUUGAAAACACAACAAGUCAGAGGUUCCGUCAAAGCACUCAGUCCAAGAACUACAGCAGAAACGACGACAACUUUAAAGCAACUAAAAAAGGAGAUUUCCAGGAAGUUUUCUCGCGCACGUUCAGACUCUAAAUACUCGUUGAUACCUUGGAUGGAUUGUAGUGACUGGGAGGAGCCUUCGGGAGAUUUCAUUCCAGUUGAAUUCAAUCUAGGCUUCUUGGAUGACUAUAUGUAAGGGUAACAUGAAAAUUAACUAUAAACUCGUUGCUGUUGUUGAUGAUUCAAAAUGCCCAUGAAGGACUGCAGCCAGAUCGGUGUAGAGUCCUUCUUGGCCAUGACGAGAUCAUGCUCCAGUUUUUUUAAAGGCAGGACAUAUUAUACUUUUCGUGCGCGCCGAUUGCCCAGUUCUCAGGAAUACAUUAGUAAGCAAUAUUCACUUCCGAGGAACCGCACAGACAGAAUUGCGCGUCAAGAAUUUAAUUUGCGACAAUUUUUCGGUAUGUUGACAGAAAUAAUCCAAUUAUGUGGUUUCUGUCUGCUGGACCCUCCCAAGCAGUUAGUAAGUAAAUGAUUCCACUGCCAGCGUUCAGGUCCUUUUUAAAAAUUUAAUUUAUAUUUAAUGAGUAACAUUUAAUAAGCUACUGAGCUGGGUAUAGGAUAAAAUUACCAACCCUUUCGAAUAGCGUUCCGUAGUUUCCUUUUAGUUCAGACACAUUUCGCAGAGAACAAAAUAGUAUUAUUAGUUACACUGUAACACUUUUGCAGCAUGUGACGAAAUCACGCGACUCUUGCUUCGUCCAUUAUGAAUCAUUUUACUCGUGUCACAUGACAAGUGAGUAGAGUUGUUUUCAUAGCAAAAAUUUGUUUGUGGCAGAGUUUUUUAGUCUACUAAUUUUUUUUAGUGUUUGGUACACUUAUUUGGUCGACUUGAGUUGUCAUGUUAGAUUCACGCUGCAUCGCAAUUCCAAAACAUAGGAGUUCCCUGAGUCACAAAAUUUCGAAAGGCCGCAAAGAGGAUAUCAAGAUUAUUUACUGUUUUAGUACAGAUUAUUUGUAACUUAGCACUCAUAUGAAGUGACUUAAAGGUUUGAGAGAAGGCAUUACACCCUCACCACUAGGGGUUAAAUGGGAAUGAAAAACCUGUUAGACUAGUUUGGAGGGGUAUUUUAAAAUAUUGCUGAUGUUUUCAUGCUUUUGUAUUUGUUUGUGUACAAUAUCUGAAAUAGAAAAUGAACACAAUGAUCCUCGAUCGAGAGUCAUCGGCUUUGAGUUUUAUGAUGUUAAUGUUAGUUAAACUGCAUUAUUGAUUAAUUCAAUAAAAGUCUAGUAAAUAAUUCCUAAA